rnacentral:rRNA from 1 species
AGAGUUUGAUCCUGGCUCAGAAUGAACGCUGGCGGCGUGCUUAACACAUGCAAGUCGAACGAGAAAGUCCGGAGCUUGCUUUGGACGAGUAAAGUGGCGCACGGGUGAGUAACGCGUGGGUAAUCUACCUUCGAAUUUGGGAUAACACUUCGAAAGGGGUGCUAAUACCGGAUAAUAUCUUUGCCAUUGAGGUGGUGAGAUCAAGAUGGCCUCUUCAUGAAAGCUAUUGUUUGGAGAUGAGCCCGCGUACCAUUAGCUAGUUGGUGGGGUAAAGGCUUACCAAGGCGACGAUGGUUAGCUGGUCUGAGAGGAUGAUCAGCCACACUGGAACUGGAACACGGUCCAGACUCCUACGGGAGGCAGCAGUGAGGAAUUUUGCGCAAUGGGGGAAACCCUGACGCAGCAACGCCGCGUGAGUGAUGAAGGCUUUCGGGUCGUAAAGCUCUGUCAAGUGGGGAAGAAGUUAUGCAUGGUGAAUAAUCAUGUAUAUUGACGGUACCACUGAAGGAAGCACCGGCUAACUCCGUGCCAGCAGCCGCGGUAAUACGGAGGGUGCAAGCGUUAUUCGGAUUUACUGGGCGUAAAGGGCGCGUAGGCGGCUUGAUAAGUCAGUCGUGAAAGCCCGGGGCUCAACCCCGGAAGUGCGAUUGAAACUAUCAGGCUUGAGUAUGGUAGAGGGAAAGUGGAAUUCCUGGUGUAGCGGUGAAAUGCGUAGAUAUCAGGAGGAAACACCGGUGGCGAAGGCGACUUUCCUGGACCAAUACUGACGCUGAUGCGCGAAGGUGUGGGUAGCAAACAGGAUUAGAUACCCUGGUAGUCCACACAGCAAACGGUGAUCACUAGGUGUUGCGGGUAUUGACCCCUGCAGUGCCGGAGCUAACGCAUUAAGUGAUCCGCCUGGGGAGUACGGUCGCAAGAUUAAAACUCAAAGGAAUUGACGG